CUCAGGUCUGUUCCUUAGCUCCGGCCCAGGUGGCAGCAGGACUGCAGUCAUCUGAAGAUCCAGCCCCUGGACUGUCUGUUGGGCCCACAUCUUCUGCACCUCUCCUUAGAUGCCAGACGAGGAAACUCAGACAAUACUUUAUAAGCUAGAAAUCAAACAGCAGCAUACCAGCUGGAAUGCACCCAUGCAAGAGGAACCACAAGAGAUCAUCUGGCCCAUUUGGGGGGCUGAACGUGGUCUCUGAGUCCAGUUCCAGACCCUUCAACCCGACGUUCCCACAGGGGAGGGCUCUGCUCCAAGCUAUAUGCAUGAGUGAACUGUAGCUCAGAGAUGCUUGGAAUCCGGCCCAGGGUUACAGAGCUGAUCAGGGGCAGAGCUGCCUGGCUCCAGAGCCCUCAUCCUUCCCAGAGCGACUGGCCUCAUGCAGGGCCUGCUCCCACCUGCCGCCAUCUGCCUCCUGGCCUCACAUUCAGCCUCCACCGCCCUGCCUGCCUUACCAAGCCGCCCCCUGCCUUUCCCAGUCAUCUCAGUCUUCAAGCCCACCUCCUUCAGGAAGCUCUCCAUGCCAUUCAUAACACGUAUCAGACACGGACCCCGGCACACACAUAAUCCGUCCGCAGAGUACACAUAGUCUGACACGAUCUGCAGUUUCUCUGAUUAAAGUAUUGCCCUGAACUCUACGUAUUGCCUGCAACAACAA